UACGUAGGGAGCAAGCGUUGUCCGGAUUCAUUGGGCGUAAAGGGUGCGUAGGCGGCGAGGCAAGUCUGGUGUGAAAUCCCGGGGCUCAACCCCGGAACUGCACUGGAUACUGCUUUGCUAGAGUACUGGAGAGGGAACUGGAAUUUACGGUGUAGCAGUGAAAUGCGUAGAUAUCGUAAGGAAGACCAGCGGCGAAGGCGAGUUCCUGGACAGUUACUGACGCUGAGGCACGAAGGCCAGGGGAGCAAACGGG
rnacentral:rRNA from 1 species